GUCAAGAUGGCCGAGUGGUUAAGGCGCCAGACUUAAGAUUCUAAUUCAAAUAAUAGAUUAAUAGGUAAUCUUAUUGUGAUAUCCGUUACUUGGCAUUCUGGUCUUCGAAGAAGGCGUGGGUUCGAACCCCACUCUUGACA
rnacentral:tRNA from 1 species